CUGAAAAUAAAGUGUUUAAGACAGUUAAGUAAAUUGUGUAAUAUUUAUUCAAUAAGUUUGAUUCCAUAUUUAAAAUGCUACUAAUGAAGAGUUUUUAAUAACAUGAGAAAAUACCUCUACUAUAAAUGUAGAGGGAAAUUUUGAUACAAAUUAUAUUUAUAUUAUACUGAACAUGUACACCAGCCACUGUGUGAUUUUAUAUAAAAUUUAAAAUAUUUAAUUAUGUGUUUGUAUUUAUAGAUAUAUAAUUUUCAACUCAUUUUGUGAGAAAGAGAUAAAGGAAUGAAAACUCUGAGAACAUAAACAAGUUUUCAAUGCAAAACUAUUAGUGUGAGCUUGAACCUAAGUCUGUCUGACUCCACAGCCAAACUCUCCACUACUGGAAAUGUUUUAAAUCUAUGACUAAAACAAACAGAGUGGAUAACCAUUGACCCAAACUUAGUAAUGGUGUCCUUCAGUCCUGAAUUAUGGGCAGGAUGGCUUUAUCUCGUUUACUCAUUAAGGUGUAAAAUGUUAUAAAUGGCACCAUGGAUCCAUCUCUUGAUUUUUAUCAUUUAAUAUUAUGCUAUAUUUGUUCUUUAUAUUUUGAAGUAAAUUUAAAUUUUAGAUGUAUCUUGAUAACUUUUUCCCACUCAAUAUUAGAUUUCUGAUACUUAUCCAUGUUGAUGGAUAGACCUCUAUUUCAUGUAACUGCUGCAUAGUGAUCCAUUUUUAUCACAAUUUACGUAUUCAUUCUUCCAUUCAUGCACAUUAAGUUUUCUUCUUUUUUAUCUCAUUCAAAUUCCUUUUGCAAAUAUCUAAGGUUUGCCCUUGGAUGUACAUACAGAAAUGGAAUUGUUGGGUUAUAAGGUAUAAAUUUACUUGAUGGUACAUUUUUCUUCUAUCUGUACUAGUGAGAAAACACUGCAGCAAUGAACAACCUCAGAAUUACAGUGACUUAACACAUAAUAUGCUUCUCCUUCUCCUGCUUACUGUCUUUUUCUCAAAGAAGAAGAUAACUUUAUGUAAAGCAGCCAGCAGGAACCGACUGGCAUCUUGACUCCCAAGAGAGUGCCAGCUUCCAAGGGAGAAUGGCAGGCCAUCCCAAGUCAAGCAUCUACACCGAUCCAGUCAUCUUGGGCUGCAAGAGCAGAGCUAUAAAUAUAGAAGUUCUCCAUUUAGAGAAUCUGCUUCUUGGUUAUUAUAUCGAGUGUGCAGUAUUGCGUCAUUGAGCGAAUCAAGAAUUUGAGGCACAGGGAGUUGAUAGUGAUGGAUGAAAGAUCUGAAGCCUGUGUUGUUUCCAGUGUGCAAGAGAUAACCAUAAUAAUGGACAGAGGAGAUACUGGAGUGGAAAGGAAACUAAGAGAUGUUCUUCUCAAACCUCUCACCCAAUGCGGAAGUCACCUUGACAGAUACAUCAUAUAAUCAAGCAAAGGCUUUACUGCCUAGAUAAGGUAAGUUAGUACC